CGAAAGCCUGACGGAGCAAGACCGCGUGGGGGAAGAAGGCUCUUGGGUUGUAAACCCCUUUUCUCUGGGAAGAAAGUUGUGAAAGCAACCUGACGGUACCAGAGGAAUCAGCAUCGGCUAACUCCGUGCCAGCAGCCGCGGUAAGACGGAGGAGGCAAGCGUUAUCCGGAAUGAUUGGGCGUAAAGCGUCCGCAGGUGGCAGUUCAAGUCUGCUGUCAAAGACCGGGGCUUAACUUCGGGAAGGCAGUGGAAACUGAACAGCUAGAGUAUGGUAGGGGCAGAGGGAAUUCCUGGUGUAGCGGUGAAAUGCGUAGAGAUCAGGAAGAACAUCGGUGGCGAAGGCGCUCUGCUGGACCAUAACUGACACUCAGGGACGAAAGCUAGGGGAGCG
rnacentral:rRNA from 1 species